rnacentral:SRP_RNA from 1 species
GCCAGGCGCAGUGGCACGUGCCUGUAGUCCCAGGUACUCGGAGGCUGAGGUGGGAAGAUUGCUUGAGCCCCGGAGUUCUGAGCUGUAGUGCGCUAUGCUGAUUGAGUGUCCGCACUAAGUUCGGCAUCAAUAUGGUGACCUCCUAGGAGCGAGGGAACACCAGGUUGCCUAAGGAGGGUUAAAUCAGCUCAGGUCGGAAACGGAGCAGGUCAAAACUCCCAUGAUGACCAGUAGUAGGAUUGCACCUGUGAAUAGCCACUGCAGUCUAGCCUGGGCAAGAUAGAGAGACCCUGUCUCU